rnacentral:rRNA from 1 species
UCGUGUCGUGAGAUGUUGGGUUAAGUCCCGCAACGAGCGCAACCCUCACCUCUUGUUGCCACCAGGUCAUGCUGGGCACUCUAGAGGAACUGCCCCGGUCAACGGGGAGGAAGGCGGGGAUGACGUCAAGUCAUCAUGCCCCUUACGUCCUGGGCUGCACACGUGCUACAAUGGCCGGUACAAAGGGAUGCCACACCGCGAGGUAGAGCUAAACCCAAAAAGCCGGUCUAAGUUCAGAUUGGAGUCUGCAACUCGACUCCAUGAAGGAGGAAUCGCUAGUAAUCGC